UCCUCUACUCUCCUCCAUUCUUUCUUCUAGAAAAUUCGGCAAAAGUCUAGCGGUACCACAGGAACGUUACGCGCGUAUCAAAAUACCCCUCGAAAAAAAAAAAAUCCAUCGACAUGUACGAAAAACUUGGCUACUUAUAUUUUCCUCUUCUCCCACUUUAUUUCUUUCCUGAAUUCUCCUCGCUGUCUUCAAAGCCGAAACUUCUGGGCCUCGUGCAUAUCCUGAUCGAAUCGAAGAAAAAAUCUAGGGUUUUUUAGGGUUUUGACGUUGAUUUCACGUGGUCAACUCAAAUACAACCCCAAAAAUCUGGAUGUGAAGGCGUUCGCAGAUCUGACCUUCUUCGGAUCACCGGAGGUUGCGGAUGGAGAGAGGAUUCUGAUGAGGGUGGGAUGAGAGGAGGGGAAUUGGCCGUCAGAGAUUGGUCGGAUUGGAUUGGAUUGGAUUGGAGUUGAUCGAUCGAUAGGAUGGAGGGGUCGCAGGGGGGAUCGGCAUCGAAUUCCCCGCCACCGUUCCUCACCAAGACGUAUGAAAUGGUGGAUGACCCGUCGACGAAUUCCAUUGUGUCGUGGAGCCCCAGCAAUAGCAGCUUCAUCGUUUGGAACCCGCCGGAGUUCUCCAGGGAUUUGCUCCCCAAGUACUUCAAGCACAACAACUUCUCCAGCUUCGUCAGGCAGCUUAAUACUUAUGGUUUUAGAAAAAUAGAUCCUGACCAGUGGGAAUUUGCAAAUGAGGAAUUUAUAAGGGGCCAGAGGCAUCUCUUGAAAAAUAUUCAUAGACGUAAGCCGAUACACAGCCAUUCGCUGCACCACCAGGGUAACUCAGGGCCGUUAGCAGAAUCAGAAAGACGUGAGCUUGAGGAUGAAAUUGAGAGGCUCAAAUGUGAGAAGGGUUUGCUUCUAUCAGAACUUCAGAAGCACGCUCAGCAACAUCAUGGAAUGGAGCAGCAAAUGCAAUCUUUGGAGGAGAGAUUACAUGCUAUGGAGAACCGCCAAAGAAAUAUGAUGGCCUUCUUGACCCAAGUCAUGCAGAAACCUGGAUUUCUCUCUAACUGUGUCCAGCAAUCUGAAUUUCAUACCAAGAAGAGGAGAUUGCCAAAAGCCAAUUACUUUUGUGAGGAUUCUAAUAUGGAAGAGAACCGUAUCAUAUCUUUCCAGGGUAUGAGCAGUGAGAAAUCAGACAUUGCAUCUAUGCAUGCAUUGGACAUAGAGCCAUUUGAGAAGAUGGAAUCAUCCUUGAAUUCUUUGGAGAAUUUUUUCCGAGGUGUGAGUCAAGCUUCUGGUGAAGAUAUGUACUAUGACAGUGCUUUACCUUCACUGCCAUCUGGUGUAGUUAUUAUGGAGAUGAAUGCAUCAUCAGGGGACACUGAUGUGAAUCUGCAGUCACCAUCACCUAAAUUGCACCCUUCUUCACCUUGUCUGGGAGAUAUUCAUUCAUCCCCAGAGCUAGCAGAAUCUACGAGUUAUGCAGAAAGCCCAGCUCUUCCAAUAACAGAGAUUCAUGCAGAUAUAAGGAGUAAGGCUUCUGAGAUAGAUGUAAAUUCAGCACCUGCCGCUCCCGAGUGUGAUUCAUCGAGAGAUGGAGCUGCUGGGACUGCUGCUUGUACCAUGGCUGCUGGUGUAAAUGAUGUGUUCUGGGAACAAUUUCUCACAGAGACUCCUGGUUCUUCUGACACUCAGGAGGUCCAGUCAGAAAGACGAGAUGCAAAUGACACAAGAUCUGAUGGAAAGAUGGGAGAGAGGGGAAAUAUUUGGUGGAGCAGGAAGAACGUCGAACACCUUGCAGAAAAGAUGGGACAUCUCACUUCAGCUGAGAAAACCUGAUGAUGGUUCUUUUGUUUUAGAUUGACUGUUUUUGGUGGUAGAUUUUGCAGCUUGACAGUGAGGUCUCUUGCAUAGAAGACCAGAACUGAUCACCCCAGAUGAUCUUGGUUGUAGUAUGCGAAAAAUUAAACUUCCAAAAGAUGUUGAUAGGUGGUAGUACAGGGCCUAAAGAGGAAGAUUCACUAUUUUAUCAGAAGCGGCAUUUCAAGCUGCCAGAGAAGCUUGGAAAGGUAACAGGUUUGAGCUUUGAGAAGAUAUACAAGUGACGCUAAGAAGACAGUGAUGCAUGGAUUUCUGAUACGUUGGAUGGUUGUUCUUCCACUAGGCUUUAUUGGAUUUAGGGGGUCUUGGGAAACAUAUUCUGGAAAUUAAGGUCUACCAAAGGUCUCACUGUGGUUGAUGGAAUUUUCAUCACAUAGGUAAAGCUACAUAUAUUGAUUUUGGCUAAUUCGCAUCUUUUUGUUUGCACGAGGAUUUUGCAAAUGUUGCAGACUGUAAUGUUUAUUUUUUUGAUGAGUUGCAAAGUGGUCAGUGAAAGGUCUGGUUCCGAGAACUUUAUCUGUUGGUAUUCACGUCACUCCUUUUGUUUCCCCUUUGUUGUUGUGAAGCCUUUCUGCUUAUUUACUGGCAUUAAAAGAGCGCUUGCACUGUCA